UUGAUGCUAAAAAGACAACAUUAGAUAAUUACUGGUACGGGAUUCUCAAUUUUUGACCUAUGAAGUUUUAAGAGAUGAUGGGAUCUGAUACUCCCUAAUCCAAUGAUCUUUACUCAGCUGUACACUUACCUGCAACAAAUACAUAUGUUAAAAUAUUCUCAAAACACGCUAGCUAUCAUGAAACAUCAUCGCUGAAUUAUAUGCAUAAGUUCAUACAACUUAUAUAAAACACAAAACUGUAUGACCUAAUUAAAUUCUUAGUGGUCUUAUUCCUUUAUUAUACAUUAACUUUGCAAAAGAAAAAAAAGAGACAGUUAUAAAUACAACUGACAACGUUAAUCAGUAACGUCUAAAUAGAUUGUUAUCGUCUACAACUAUUAUUA
rnacentral:lncRNA from 1 species